ACAGAGGGAGAGAGAAUCCACAACAUAGUAAACAGCACCAGUGAAAGUGCAUGGCGGCAGUCUUUCUCCCUGCCGCUGGGAAGACAGCCAGAUAGGUCUGCCUUCUGCAAGUCAGUCCACUGGCGCGACACAAGACAGGAAACUCACAGGAAAGAAUGGGGGGACCAGAGAGGCAGGAGCCAGGUCGGGGACAGUAAGCCUGUCGGAAGUUAUUGUUUUCGGACCAACACAGGCGUCUGUCCGCAGUCGAAAGAGUAAUCUUCCAGUCGGGUCUCGCCUGGGACAGGUUCUACUUAUGUCAUGACCCCUCCAAUAGGGAUUUUCUGGGACAGGAAGCCCCGAAGCUCGUCACCACAAGAGUCGUGUUGUGUCCUGCUUGUAAUAACAGUAGCAAGUAGUUAUUUAAUAGAUUUUAUGAACUUCCUUAUUCAAUGACCUUAAUUUCAUACCUAUGGGCCAUGAGGAACGGGAGGAGACUGACCUUUUGGAUGUAAACAAUGCUUAUGAUAACUAUCACAACUACCUCCCCGCUCUUGUGUGGUAUUCUAUGGCCUGGCUGCCAUGGUCUCACCCUGACCUGCAGCCCGGGGCGUCAUGGCGAUGGUCGAGGAGGUGAGGCUCGUGCUUAACGCCACAAUAAGGGACCAUCGGCCAAAAGAGGAAAUCUGACCUGCUGUUUGGCAGUCUCUACAAACCGCCUUCCCCUGUGGCCUAGCCAACCACCCUGACCUCGAGCCACCCCUGUUGAUUGUUUAAGGAAGAACCUCCCUAAACACACACAGCUAUAAAUACCUGGCGGCUCUUCAGCAAAGAGGAUUUUAAUAGACUGAGAAGAGCCUCAUCUACUGAUAAACAACAACUUGGUCUGAGACAGGUUCCACGUCGCUAGAAUAGCCUUUUUACUCUGGCAGGAAACACAGCAGAGAUACAGUAUGUUUGGUGUUUAACUCUGUCACUCCUCCAUAGACCUAACCUUUUCUGUAAUAAUAAUGUGAAUAAAUAAUAGACCGUUAUAUUACUGUAUGCUCCUGUACGGGGGGAGCCUACUUUUAGUAUCAUCCUAGGGUUUGGAAAUGUGCCAAGUCUACUAGGGUCCCGAACUGUGCCAAAAGAGAGAUGAAAUCCCUAUGACUGUAAGCAGUACAGGGCUGAGGGCUCGCACAGCUGUUCAAACUUCCCAGAAGCCCCGAUCUCAUAGCCUAACAUGGCAUAAUAGAAAACACACUCCAGUCUAAACGACCCAGCACAACACAGCUGUUUCAUCUGCUAGUCCAGUGCCAAUUCCCUUAAUUCCUUUAACAGGGUGUAGUUGGUCAAGAAAGACAACACAAACACGUGUGGCACUUGAGGCGUGUAGGCAACACUAUUCAAUUGAUCAAUGGAACAAAUCCAGCAAGUGUAACAAACUAACAACAAUGAAUGGAUCAUUUCUUCAGGAGCUGUGGUGCAGUGGUUGGACACGCUUGAUGCUCUCCUUAGCUAUGGGGCCACAGAGGUCCCUAUCUGAAUAAUCUUUUAUCUAUAGCGACAUUGAGGCCCCGGUUCAUUGACUGAACCCUGAGCUUUUUAACCACUUUAAGGAUCACAUGGUUGGAGUUGGUUCUAUCAUCCAAACUACGAUAAGAUCACAAAGUCUGAUCAUAUCGGGUUGGGAAGGCUUCAUGCUGUAAUGAAAAGUCACAGAUAAGGCCAUGUGAUUAUCUAAUGUGGUGUAGUCGCUUAUUCUUUGUAAAAAAAAAAAAACAUUG